GUAAGGAAUAUUGGUCAAUGGACGCAAGUCUGAACCAGCCAUGCCGCGUGGAGGAUGAAGGUCCUCUGGAUUGUAAACUUCUUUUAUCUGGGAAGAAAUCCAUAAAUUCUUUUAUGGUUGACGGUACCAGGUGAAUAAGCACCGGCUAACUCCGUGCCAGCAGCCGCGGUAAUACGGAGGGUGCAAGCGUUAUCCGGAUUCACUGGGUUUAAAGGGUGCGUAGGCGGAUUGGUAAGUCCGUGGUGAAAUCCCCGAGCUUAACUCGGGAACUGCCAUGGAUACUAUCAGUCUUGAAUAUCUUGGAGGUAAGCGGAAUAUGUCAUGUAGCGGUGAAAUGCUUAGAUAUGACAUAGAACACCAAUUGCGAAGGCAGCUUACUACGCGAUAAUUGACGCUGAGGCACGAAAGCGUGGGGAUCAAACAGGAUUAGAUACCCGAGUAGUCC
rnacentral:rRNA from 1 species